AUUGAACGCUGGCGGCAGGCCUAACACAUGCAAGUCGAGCGGAUGAAGGGAGCUUGCUCCUGGAUUCAGCGGCGGACGGGUGAGUAAUGCCUAGGAAUCUGCCUGGUAGUGGGGGCUAACGUCCGGAAACGGGCGCUAAUACCGCAUACGUCCUGAGGGCGAAAGUGUGGGAUCUUCGGACCUCACGCUCUCAGAUGAGCCUAGGUCGGAUUAGCUAGUUGGUGGGGUAAAGGCCUACCAAGGCGACGAUCCGUAACUGGUCUGAGAGGAUGAUCAGUCACACUGGAACUGAGACACGGUCCAGACUCCUACGGGAGGCAGCAGUGGGGAAUAUUGGACAAUGGGCGAAAGCCUGAUCCAGCCAUGCCGCGUGUGUGAAGAAGGUCUUCGGAUUGUAAAGCACUUUAAGUUGGGAGGAAGGGCAGUAAGUUAAUACCUUGCUGUUUUGACGUUACCAACAGAAUAAGCACCGGCUAACUUCGUG
rnacentral:rRNA from 1 species